CGGCUGGAUCACCUCCUUUCUAAGGAGCACCACGAAAAGCACCCCAACUGGUGGGGUGCGAGCCGUGAGGGGUUCCCGUCUGUAGUGGACGGGGGCCGGGUGCGCAACAGCAAAUGAUUGCCAGACACACUAUUGGGCCCUGAGACAACACUCGGUCCGUCCGUGUGGAGUCCCUCCAUCUUGGUGGUGGGGUGUGGUGUUUGAGUAUUGGAUAGUGGUUGCGAGCAUCUAGAUGAGCGCAUGGUCUUGGUGGCCGGCGUUCAUCGAAAUGUGUAAUUUCUUUUUUAACUCUUGUGUGUAAGUAAG
rnacentral:misc_RNA from 1 species